UCCCUGGUGGCUCAGAUGGUAAAGCCUCUGCCUGCAAUGUGGGAGACCCGGGUUCGAUUCCUGGGUCGGGAA
rnacentral:tRNA from 1 species